AUGAGGGAGUGCAUCUCGAUCCACAUCGGGCAGGCCGGCAUCCAGGUCGGCAACGCGUGCUGGGAACUUUACUGCCUCGAGCACGGCAUCCAGCCUGAUGGCCAGACGAACGGCGACAAGACCAUCGGAGGUGGUGAUGACGCCUUCAACACCUUCUUCAGCGAGACCGGAGCCGGCAAGUACGUGCCCCGUGCGGUCUUCGUCGAUCUUGAGCCCACCGUGAUUGACGAGGUCCGCACCAGCGCCUACCGCCAGCUCUUCCACCCCGAGCAGCUCAUCAGCGGCAAGGAGGACGCCGCCAACAACUUCGCCCGUGGUCACUACACAAUUGGCAAGGAGAUUGUGGAUCUCUGCCUCGACCGCAUCCGCAAGCUGGCCGACAACUGCACUGGCCUGCAGGGCUUCCUGGUCUUCAACGCCGUUGGUGGUGGAACCGGGUCUGGGCUUGGGUCGCUCCUCCUUGAGCGCCUGUCCGUGGACUAUGGAAAGAAGUCCAAGCUCGGGUUCACCGUGUACCCAUCCCCUCAGGUGUCGACCUCUGUGGUCGAGCCCUACAACAGUGUGCUGUCCACCCACUCCCUGCUGGAGCACACCGAUGUCUCCAUCCUGCUCGACAACGAGGCCAUCUACGACAUCUGCAGGCGCUCCCUGGACAUCGAGAGGCCCACCUACACCAACCUGAACCGCCUCGUCUCUCAGGUGAUCUCAUCCCUGACCACCUCCCUGAGGUUCGACGGUGCCCUGAACGUGGAUGUGACUGAGUUCCAGACCAACCUGGUCCCAUACCCGAGGAUCCACUUCAUGCUCUCGUCCUAUGCGCCGGUCAUCUCGGCCGAGAAGGCGUACCACGAGCAGCUGUCGGUGUCUGAGAUCACCAACAGCGCGUUCGAGCCGUCGUCCAUGAUGGCCAAGUGCGACCCGCGCCACGGCAAGUACAUGGCGUGCUGCCUCAUGUACCGGGGCGACGUGGUGCCCAAGGACGUGAACGCGGCGGUGGCCACCAUCAAGACCAAGCGCACCAUCCAGUUCGUGGACUGGUGCCCCACGGGGUUCAAGUGCGGCAUCAACUACCAGCCGCCCACCGUGGUGCCUGGCGGCGACCUGGCCAAGGUGCAGAGGGCCGUCUGCAUGAUCUCCAACUCCACCAGCGUCGUCGAGGUCUUCUCCCGCAUCGACCACAAGUUCGACCUCAUGUACGCCAAGCGCGCCUUCGUGCACUGGUAUGUGGGCGAGGGCAUGGAGGAGGGCGAGUUCUCCGAGGCCCGUGAGGACCUGGCUGCCCUGGAGAAGGACUACGAGGAGGUCGGCGCUGAGGGUGGCGACGAUGAGGAUGGCGAGGAGGACGACGACUACUGA
rnacentral:rRNA from 1 species